AUUGAACGCUGGCGGCAGGCCUAACACAUGCAAGUCGAGCGGAUGAAGGGAGCUUGCUCCUGGAUUCAGCGGCGGACGGGUGAGUAAUGCCUAGGAAUCUGCCUGGUAGUGGGGGAUAACGUCCGGAAACGGGCGCUAAUACCGCAUACGUCCUGAGGGAGAAAGUGGGGGAUCUUCGGACCUCACGCUAUCAGAUGAGCCUAGGUCGGAUUAGCUAGUUGGUGGGGUAAAGGCCUACCAAGGCGACGAUCCGUAACUGGUCUGAGAGGAUGAUCAGUCACAAUGGAAAUGGGAAACGGUCCCGAAUCCUAAGGGAGGCAGCAGUGGGGAAUAUUGGAACAUGGGCGAAAGCCUGAUCCAGCCAUGCCGCGUGUGUGAAGGAGGUCUUCGGAUUGUAAAGCACUUUAAGUUGGGAGGAAGGGCAGUAAGUUAAUACCUUGCUGUUUUGACGUUAACAACAGAAUAAGCACCGGCUAAAUUCGUG
rnacentral:rRNA from 1 species